rnacentral:lncRNA from 1 species
UGAUAUAAAUAUUGUAAGUGAUAUAAAUAUGCAAUAUAAACUUGAGUAAAUUUUUUAGGUGUAGGGAUAGAUUAAGUUGUGUGGUUUAAGGUCAGAGUGGUAUAUGUCUUGGCAUGCUCUUUCUAACUCUUCUCUUUUAUAUUUAAACAUUUUAUUUCCCAUGCGUAAUUCUCUACUUCAUCUUAUUUCUUAAAAUUGAUCAACG